rnacentral:rRNA from 1 species
AGAGUUUGAUCAUGGCUCAGAACGAACGCUGGCGGCAUGCCUAACACAUGCAAGUCGAACGUGAUCCGGGCUUCGGCCUGGUGAAAGUGGCAGACGGGUGAGUAACGCGUGGGAACCUGCCCCUGUGGUAGGGAAUAACCGUGGGAAACUGCGGCUAAUACCCUAUGAGUCCUUCGGGAGAAAGAUUUAUCGCCAUAGGAGGGGCCCGCGUCGGAUUAGAUAGUUGGUGGGGUAACGGCCUACCAAGCCUUCGAUCCGUAGCUGGUCUGAGAGGAUGAUCAGCCACACUGGGACUGAGAUACGGCCCAGACUCCUACGGGAGGCAGCAGUGGGGAAUAUUGGACAAUGGGGGCAACCCUGAUCCAGCAAUGCCGCGUGGAUGAUGAAGGCCUUCGGGUUGUAAAGUCCUUUCGGCGGGGAAGAUGAUGACGGUACCCGCAGAAGAAGCCCCGGCUAACUUCGUGCCAGCAGCCGCGGUAAUACGAAGGGGGCUAGCGUUGUUCGGAAUUACUGGGCGUAAAGGGCGCGUAGGCUGUGCUGUAAGUCAGGCGUGAAAGCCCCGGGCUCAACCUGGGAAUUGCGCUUGAUACUGCGGCGCUGGAAGGUGGGAGAGGAUGGCGGAAUUCCCAGUGUAGAGGUGAAAUUCGUAGAUAUUGGGAAGAACACCGGUGGCGAAGGCGGCCAUCUGGCCCACAUUUGACGCUGAGGCGCGAAAGCGUGGGGAGCAAACAGGAUUAGAUACCCUAGUAGUCC